AGCGAACGCUGGCGGCAGGCUUAACACAUGCAAGUCGAGCGGGCGUAGCAAUACGUCAGCGGCAGACGGGUGAGUAACGCGUGGGAACGUACCUUUUGGUUCGGAACAACACAGGGAAACUUGUGCUAAUACCGGAUAAGCACUUACGGGGAAAGAUUUAUCGCCGAAAGAUCGGCCCGCGUCUGAUUAGCUAGUUGGUGAGGUAACGGCUCACCAAGGCGACGAUCAGUAGCUGGUCUGAGAGGAUGAUCAGCCACAUUGGGACUGAGACACGGCCCAAACUCCGACGGGAGGCAGCAGUGGGGAAUAUUGGACAAUGGGGGCAACCCUGAUCCAGCCAUGCCGCGUGAGUGAUGAAGGCCCUAGGGUUGUAAAGCUCUUUUGUGCGGGAAGAUAAUGACGGUACCGCAAGAAUAAGCCCCGGCUAACUUCGUG
rnacentral:rRNA from 1 species